GCAGCAUCUCAGGAAUAGAGAAUUCGAUGUUUCGAGCAUAAGCCCUUCAUCAGGAAUAAGAGAGAGAGAGCCAAGCAGGCUAAGAUAAAAGAUGGCACCAGAGGUACACUUUAAAAGGAAUUAUGUGAGGGGAAACAUUUCUGAGAACAAAACGGAUAAACAUUAACACUCCUCCUGUUCUUGCUCCCGAUGAGAAGAAACUUAGUUUUACAUUGCAAAAGAAAAUGGCUGGGGAAGAACAACAUAAGCAUAUAUUGAAUAGGAGAGAAAUUGUAUGGUUUAUUGUACAUGUAGCAUUAUGGAAAAUGAAGAAGCAUAAAGUUAGUGAGAGAAAGAAUUAAAUGGAGGAUAGCAAGUGUUAAAGACUUAGCCACUGAAUGAGCUUGAAUAUGUAAU